GGGGUAGGAUCCCGCUGUAGGCUCGGGUAAGAUAUGCGCCAGGCACGCAGUGCUGAGUUCCCGCAAGCUGCGGAGCCAUGGAUAUCGGCACCGAGAUCAGCCAUAAGAUCCGGAGUGUCAUUAAGGGGAAAUUGCAAGAAUUAGGAGCUUAUGUUGAUAGAGAACUUCCUGAUUACAUUAUGGUGAUGGUGGCCAACAAGAAAAGUCAGGACCAAAUGACAGAGGAUCUUUCCCUGUUUCUAGGGAACAACACAAUUCGAUUCACCAUAGGGCUUCAUGGUGUAUUAGAUAAACUUCACUCUGUUACAACUGGACCUUCUAGUCUAAAGUCUUCUGAUACCAACAUCUUUGAUAGUAAUAUGUCUUCAAACAAGAGCAGUUUCAGUGGGGGAGAUGAGAGGAAGCAUGAAGCUACAGUGCCACCACAUGCCAUUCCUAGCACUAGACCUGAAAAAAGAGAUUCCAGAGUUCCUACACGUUCACAGGAGUCAAAAACCACCAAUGUCAGGCAGACUUAUGAUGAUGGAGCUGCAACCCGACUAAUGUCAACAGUGAAACCUUUGAGGGAGCCAGCACCCUCUGAAGAUGUGACUGAUAUUAAGCCAGAAUCAGAUGAUCUCAUUGACGAAGACCUGAACUUUGUGCAGGAGAACACUUUAUCUCAGAAAAAACCUACAGUGACACUUACAUAGGUUUCUUCUCGCCCUUCUAUGGAAAUUUAUUGACCACCUGCAAGUAUAAAGGCAGAUAGUGGUGUUCGUUUAAACAGGUUGCAAUUUCAACAGCAGCAAAAUAAUAUUCAUGCUGCCAAGCAGCUUGAUAUACAGAAUAGUUGGGUAUAUGAAACAGGACGUUUGUGUGAUCCAGAAGCGCUUAACAGCUUAGAAGAAACAUACAGUCCGUUCUUUAGAAACAACUUGGAGAGGGCCAGUCUGGAGGAUGAAAACUUUUGGAAGAGAAAGUUCCCUGUUGUAAGUUCAGUUGUUAAAGUAAAAAAAUUCAAUCAUGAUGGAGAAGAGGAGGAAGAUGAUGAUGACUAUGGUCUCGAACAGAAAGCAUCUCCAGCAGUGUGUCUGUGCCACCAAAUCCUGAAAGGAGACCUUCUCUUCCACCUUCUAAACAAGCUAACAGGAAUCUGAUUUUGAAGGCUAUGUCUGAAACUCAAGAAUCCAUAACAAAAACAACUAACUAUUCCACAGUCCCACAGAAACAGACACUUCCAGUUGCUCCCAGAACUUGAACUUCUCAAGAAGAAUUGCUAGCAGAAGUGGUCCAGGGACAAAGUAGGACCCCCAGAAUAAGUCCCCCCAUUAAAGAAAAGGAAACAAAAGGAGAUUCCAUAGAAAAAAAAUCAAGGAACUCAACAGAGGCAAUUAUUAUCCCAACGACAAAUUGACCCAAUAAUGGCAGAAACUGCAGAUCGGUCAAGACUACUAUGACAUGGAAUCCGUGUUCCAUGCAGACACAAGAUAAUUUACUCUGAAGAAGCCAAAGCUGUCUGAGGAAAUAGUAGUGGCACCAAACCAAGAGUCGGGGAUGAAGACUGCAGAUUCCCUUCGGGUACUUUCAGGACACCUUAUGCAGACACGAGAUUUUGUACAACCAGAUAAACCUACAAGUCCCAAGUUUACAGUGAUGCUGGAUGGUGUCCCCAGUCCCCAAGGAUACAUGUCAGAUCAAGAGGAGGACAUGUGCUUUGAAGGAAUGAAACCCGUAAACCAAACUGCAGCCUCAAACAAGGGACUCAGAGGUCUCCACCCACAGCAGUUGCACUUGCUGAGCAGGCAGCUUAAGGACCCAAAGAGCAGCUUUUCCAACGCUGACAUGAGUGAACUGACUAUGGCACAGAAACCAGAAAAACUUUUGAAGCGCUGCAAGUACUGGCCUGUUUGUAAAAACGGGGAUGAGUGUGCCUACCAUCACCCCAUCUCACCCUGCAAAGCCUUCCCCAACUGUAAAUUUGCUGAAAAAAUGUGUUUGUUCACCCAAAUUGUAAAUAUGAUGCAAAGUGUAUGAAACCAGAUUGUCCUUUCACUCAUGUGAACAGAAGAAUUCCAGAACUGUCUCCAAAACCAGCAGUUGCACCGCCAGCACCACUUCCUAGCUCGUAAGAAGAUGGAAUGUCCCUUCUAUCAUCCAAAACACUGUGGUAAGUUGAUCAAUACCUGUAGGUUUAACACUCAGUGUACGAGACCGGACUGCACAUUCUCCCAUCCCACCAUUAAUGUACCACCACAACAUGCCUCGAAAUGGAUUCGACCUCAAACCAACGAAUAACACUCAGUCCUACCUGGCAGAAGAUCAUGCAGUUUGGAAGUUUCCAUCUACUGAUGAAUACUCUACAGAACGUCAAAUCUUUGAAACUUGGAAUAUAUUUUUUUCAUAAUAUGAAGUUUAUUGCCUAACCAAAUUGUCUAAUUUUUCAAGUUUGUAAGUUUAUUAAGUGAUUUUAACAUUGGGUGUUUCUGCUUUGUUUUUACUACGCGAAGACAGCUUAAAGAAGAGCUAAAUUCUGUGAAACGAUUUGGGGCAUGUUUGUGCACUGCUGUUGUGAGGAUCGGCAUAUGACACUGACGUCAUGGUUAGUGAUGGUGCUGCAGCUUACGGGGCUACACGGUUGCUGUGUGAGUGGAGAGAUACAGUGAGGCAGUUGUCAUUAUUCUGUAAAUUGAACUGCUUUUCCUUUUCCCAAAGAUCAUAUAAUGUUCAUAAUCCACCAUGAAAACAGGACUGGCCAGAGGUACAGAGGCUGCUGAAAAUAUUUAAUUCUGCUUUUUAAUUUUUAAGUGAAUUUAGUUUGAAAAGCUUCAUAAUACAAGCGUCUCAGGCUCAGUGCUACUUUGGUAAAGUUCCCGGUUUCCUUGCCUUUUGUGACAGGAUGAACGUGGUGGGUAUGGACAGUGAAGACAGCUGCAAUGGCAAGUGCAGAAAACAGAAACAGUUCUACACAUCUACUAACAGCAUAAUACCUUCGAAAGAAAUUUUUUGGGAAACUACAUUAUCACAAAAUUACACAAAUUUUUUUACAAGUAUUUACAUAAGGUAUCUGAAAACAGACUUUAAAGUCACAAGAUUAUACAUGUACAUAUAUAGUCUCACAUUCUGAAAAAUAACAUUCUCAGAAAUAGCUCCACAGAAAAUAUACUUAGUGACUACUGAAGAUAAUUUUUGAAAUGUAAAAAUUAGAUUGAAAUAGUAUAUUUUAAAUGAGAGAACUAUAAUUACAGAGAUCAGAUAGGUAAACUGCAAGAUAGGAUGAAACUUUUGGCUUACUGUAUUACAGAGUUGUGUGUGUGUGUGUGUGUGUGUGUGUGUGUGUGUGUGUGUGGUUUUCAAAACUGUUAAGGCAAGAAGUAUCAAAUGCUUUAGAGUUCAAUAACAAACAGAUCAGUGAUUUCAAAGGCUUGUUGUAUACUAGUGUUAAAAAUUGAAGCUUAAAAGGUGGUUAGAAAAGUAGAUUAAUGCAAAAGGGAUAAUAAAGACUGCAGCAUUCUCAGGACCAAAU